AGUGGAGGAGGAGCCUGAGGAGGAAGUUAGCUGAAAUGUGUGAGCCGGAGAUGGGUCUGUGGUACGUCCCAGGGAUUUUGUGUAAUGAGAGGGCGGAGCCUUUAGAGGGUGGGUUGUCAGGCUAAUUGGUAAGGUGACCCUGAAUGACGGGGUGUGAGGUUAUGGUUGUGGCUCCCACUUUUGGGGUACGGAUGAUAAAAAAAAAAACCCCGACUUUUCUGAGUAUUUUUCUCAAUCAAAUCUUUUAAGAUGCACAAAAUGGGAAACUAGAGAAGAAAGACUAAUGAAAAAAUGGGGCAGGAAAGAGAAAGCCACAAGGGAAGCGCCCCCUAUGGAAACAAAGACAGGUAACACUGAAAAAAAAAAAACGGGAUUAUCGGAAACAAAACGGCUGCUUUCUAGAAGUCCCGGUGGUGCUUCUGGAUCUUUGCCCUGAAUUCACUGACUUCAUUGUCUGUUUCUGCUGACUGCUUCUGAUACCCUCUUCCUCCUCCGGUAUAAAUGACUCCCUCUGAGCCACAGUCACCCGACACUCGUCUCACAGGUUAUUGCAAGGAGUAAUCGAGAUAACAUGUGUAAGCAGCAGGUAUAUUGUAAAUACUUCUACAAAUCAGCUAUAAUUAUGUAAACAACUAUCAUCCUGUGUGGGGUAAGCUCUGAUAGCAGAAAGUACAAAGUACACUAAAAAAUGCUCAGGAAACUGAGAAAUGAUAAAACAGUGACUGGUUACAAUGACUGUGUGUGUGGGAGUCCAGGGUCCCCGCCUGAUACCUUUAGUUACUUAUUCAGUAAACAUUUAUGGAGAUCAGUGGUGGCCACUUGCCAUAGUCACAGCUGCCCAGUGGCUUUAUUUGUUUUAAGUUGUUAACUAAAAUCUUUUGCUGUGCUCAGUUCAGCUCUAUUUUUUUUGUCAUUAUUAUUUUAUUGUUGAUAAGUUAUUAUUGACUUAUUUUUUUUAGCUGCCCCGUGGCAUAUGGCAUUCGCCUUGCUGGGCUGGGUAUUGAAUCUGUGUUGCAGCACUUCAGAGACCCCUAGAUCCUGCUGUGUCACAGCGGGGGACAUCUGUCUUUAUUUUUAAUUGAAGUAUAGUUGAUUUGCAAUGCUGUGUUAGUUUCAGGUGUACAGCAGAGUGAUUCAGUUAUAUAAAUAAAUAAAUACAUACAUAUAUUCUUUUUCAGAUUCUUUGCCAUGACAGGUCAUUACAAGCUAUGGGGUAUAGUUCCCCGUGCUACACAGUGGGCGCUUGUUGGUUAUCUGUUUUACAAAUAGUAGUGUGUAUCUGUUAAUCCCAAUUUAUCUCUCCCCGGGCUACAUCGGGUCCUUAACCUACUGAGCCACAGCGGGAACUCCUGUGAUUAUUGAGGCCCUUCUCUGUGCCACGAUCAUUCUGGAGACAAAAGGAUGAAUAAGAGGUCUGGCCAGUAGCUAUGGAGAGAGGUCACUUUCUCAUCGAACAUCUAUGGUGGACACAGGCAGCCCUAGUCUUGAUUUGAUGUUGCGGGAUGACCUCUUCCCAGGAUGACCGAUGGCAGGAACGUCUACUCCUGGCAGGGGAACCCCUCCAGUCCUUCCUUGGUAUGUUUCUGCCCGGAGAGCCCAGCGUGGCUUUACCUCCAACCCCAAAGAGCCAGUCCCAGUCCCGACCCUCAGUCUUAAAUAGCAUCCCGAGCAGGACGUUAACACAGUCCUGCCCAGGGCAGGGUCAUUUUUACAGUCUCUUCUCCAGCUCUCGGUGAAGACCAGGUCUCAGUUUCUCAUCUUCUGCGAGUGUGGCCUGCAUGAGACCAUCCAUAAUCCUAAGCUUAAAAAAUGGUUUUCUGGCACAGGAAAGUCCACAUCCGUGCCUGGCGCAAGAGACUUUUCUCUCCUCGUUGGCAGGGUACCACUCUGCUACCCGGAGAACCUUUUCCUGCAUCUCACAGACUUGCUUGGUUCCCACGAGCCCUGGCUGUCUCCCCAUCUCCAUAGCUACAGGAGUGUUUGCUUUCUGUCUUCACAGCUAUGAGACACACGGAGUGGAUUUGUCCUCAAAUAAAAGGCAAUCUUCUCUAGGAGUAAUUCAACUCUGGUAAAAAUAGAGACCUGCUUUCAUCUCCCUCCUACUCUCAGCUUUGGCCUUUCCUGUUGAAAUCUCAAGAUCUUGGGACUCUUAGCCCGCAUUUAAUCUCAGAGUUCCCUGUAUUUUCCCUCUGUUAUGGGCCGAGUUGGUUUCUCCAAGAUUCCUAUGUUAACGUCCCAAUUUCCAAUACCUCAGCAUGUGUCUAUAUUUGGAGACCGAAGUUCUUUAAAGAGGUAAGUUAAAAUGAGGUCAUAUGUCCUUAAAAGGAGAGGUGAUCAGAACACAGACACACACACAGGGAAGAGCGUGUGAAGACACAGGGAGAAGAUGGCCAUUCACAAGCCAAGGAGGGAGGCUUCAGAAGGAACCAGCCCUGCCCACACCUUGAUCUUGGACUUCCAGGCUCCAGCAUCGUGAGACAACAAAUUUCUGUUGUGUGAGCCACCCAGUGUGCGGUGCUUUGGGAUGGCAGCCUCAGCUGACUAGCGCACCCUCCCCCGUGGCAGUCUUUGCAAGAAGCUGUUCUUCUUUUAAUACAGGGCACUCACUCCUCUCCACGGGGGUCAAGGGGACGGGUUUGGAGCGUCUAGAAGGGAACACAGCAUGUCUGUACCCACUCUCUGUGUGCAAGGGCAUCUUUACCAAGCGUGUAGUUUCAGGAGGGGCGCAGAGGUGAGGUUAGAAGUGGAUGCCAUGCUGAUCGGCCAUAAAAAUUGCUUCCCCUCUGGCCAUGGAGGAGGCAGGGAGGUUCAACUCUUUUACGUCUGCAAGGUAGGCCGCCAAACCAGACACUUUGAAGCUACCCCAUCCAACAAGGGAGCCGCCAGCUACAUGUGGCUGUUGGGCACUUGAAAUGCAGUUUGUCUAAAGUCAACAAAUGGCAAAUGCUGGAGAGGGUGGGGAGAAAGGGGAACCCUCCUGCACUGUUGCUGGGAGUGUAAAUUGGUAC